CCUACGGGUGGCAGCAGUGGGGAAUAUUGCACAAUGGGGGGAACCCUGAUGCAGCGACGCCGCGUGAGUGAAGAAGUAUUUCGGUAUGUAAAGCUCUAUCAGCAGGGAAGAAAAUGACGGUACCUGACUAAGAAGCCCCGGCUAACUACGUGCCAGCAGCCGCGGUACUACGGAGGGGGCAAGCGUUAUCCGGAUUUACUGGGUGUAAAGGGAGCGCAGACGGCUGUGCAAGUCUGGAGUGAAAGGCGGGGGCCCAACCCCCGGACUGCUCUGGAAACUGUAAAGCUGGAGUGCAGGAGAGGUAAGCGGAAUUCCUAGUGUAGCGGUGAAAUGCGUAGAUAUUAGGAGGAACACCAGUGGCGAAGGCGGCUUACUGGACUGCAACUGACGUUGAGGCUCGAAAGCGUGGGGAGCAAACAGGAUUAGAUACCCCAGUAGUC
rnacentral:rRNA from 1 species